rnacentral:lncRNA from 1 species
GAGGGAGAUGACUUGAAUUUCUCAUAGACUGAGCUCCAUAAAAAAGAGAGAACUAACCCUAGAAAAAGAGCAGAACAAGUGUUUUUGGGAUCAGAACACAGAGGGAACAGCAUCACCUUGGAGCAGCUCAGGAGGCAGCUGGACAACAGAAAGAUGGAAAAGGCACUGAAGGAAAUGAGGAUGGAGUGUCACAGACAAAUGGAGUGCCAGCUCUGGUGUUGAAGAUGUGCUAGAGAAAACCAGAAAGAUGCCAGGACAUUCAAAAGGUAGAAACAAACAAAUCUUUUGCUUGACCUGAACUGCAAUGGAGCAACAGAAGUGGAGAAAUCCCAGCUGGAAAAAGAAAUAAAUGAUUGGAAACUCAAAGCAGAAGAGUUUAAGAGUGCAAAGGAUGAGAAAGAAGCCAGAAUACGUGAAAUGGAGGCCAGGCUGAGCGAGUUGGAGCUGGAAAAAUCAGCUGGUUACUGAAUGACACAAAACUGGAAAAGGAUGAGCUCCUGCAGGAGCUCCAGGCUGGCCAAAGGGAGCUAUGUGGCCCUGCAGAGGCAUUUGAAGAGGAAUUAUCAGGGUGAAAUCAAGGAAAUGGAAAAUAGUGCACACAGACUGAAAAUGCAGAGCAG